rnacentral:rRNA from 1 species
CCCGCACAAGCGGUGGAUGAUGUGGAUUAAUUCGACUGCAACGCGAAAACCUUACCUACCUUGACAUGUCCGGAAUCCCGAAGAGAUUUGGGAGUGCUCGCAAAGAGAGCCGGAACACAGGUGCUGCAUGGCUGUCGUCAGCUCGUGUCGUGAGAUGUUGGGUUAAGUCCCGCAACGAGCGCAACCCUUAUCAUUAGUUGCUACGCAAGGGCACUCUAAUGAGACUGCCGGUGACAAACCGGAGGAAGGUGGGGAUGACGUCAAGUCCUCAUGGCCCUUAUGGGUAGGGCUUCACACGUCAUACAAUGGUCGGUACAGAGGGUUGCCAAGCCGCGAGGCGGAGCCAAUCCCACAAAGCCGAUCGUAGUCCGGAUUGUUCUCUGCAACUCGAGAGCAUGAAGUCGGAAUCGCUAGUAAUCGCAGGUCAGCAUACUGCGGUGAAUACGUUCCCGGGUCUU